GGUUAAGUGAAUAAGGGCGCACGGUGGAUGCCUUGGCACUAGGAGCCGAUGAAGGACGGGACUAACACCGAUAUGCUUUGGGGAGCUGUACGUAAGCUAUGAUCCAGAGAUUUCCGAAUGGGGGAACCCAACAUCUUUAAUAGGAUGUUACGAUUGUGUGAAUACAUAGCACAUUCGAGGUAGACGCAGAGAACUGAAACAUCUAAGU
rnacentral:rRNA from 1 species